UACGUAGGUGGCGAGCGUUGUCCGGAAUUACUGGGUGUAAAGCGCGUGUAGGCGGGAGGCCAAGUCUGUGGUGAAAUCGCUCGGCUUAACUGGGCGGGGUCCAUGGAAACUGGUCACCUGGAGGUCGGUAGAGGCAAGUGGAAUUCCCGGUGUAGUGGUGAAAUGCGUAGAGAUCGGGAGGAACACCAGUGGCGAAGGCGGCUCACUGGCCCGGUACUGACGCUGAAAUACGAAAGCGUGGGGAGCAAACAGG
rnacentral:rRNA from 1 species